rnacentral:rRNA from 1 species
UGGGGAAUAUUGGACAAUGGGCGCAAGCCUGAUCCAGCCAUGCCGCGUGAGUGAUGACGGCCCUAGGGUUGUAAAGCUCUUUCAGUGGUGAAGAUGAUGACAUUACCCGGAGAAGAAGCGCCGGCUAACUCCGUGCCAGCAGCCGCGGUAAGACGGAGGGCGCUAGCGUUGUUCGGAAUCACUGGGCGUAAAGGGCGCGUAGGCGGCUGUUUAAGUCGAGGGUGAAAGCCCGGGGCUCAACCCCGGAACGGCCUUCGAGACUGGGCAGCUCGAGACCGGAAGAGGAGGGUGGAAUACCCAGUGUAGAGGUGAAAUUCGUAGAUAUUGGGUGGAACACCAGUGGCGAAAGCGGCUCUCUGGUCCGGAUCUGACGCUGAGGCGCGAAAGCGUGGGGAGCAAACAGGAUUAGAUACCCCCGUAGUCC